rnacentral:lncRNA from 1 species
GUUUCAGGUGGAAUGAAGUUUGCUAAUCAGCUGACCUUAAACGAAGGAGAUUAUGCUGGAUUAGCCAGGUGGGCUUAAUAUAGAUGCCAGGCUCCUGAGAAGGGGAAGAAGAAGGCAGAAGAGAGUCAGAGAGAUGGCAAUGGGAAGAAAUGCCCUGCUGUUGGAUGGCUUUGAGGUUGGAGGAAGGGCCCAGGAAGCAAGGCAGGUGGGCAGCUUCUAGAAGCCAGAAAGGACAAGGAAGUGGAUCCUUCUCAAGAGCCUCCAGAAAGGCAGGCUGCUCUGUCGACACCUUGACUUCAGCCCCGUGAGACCCAUCUCAGACUUCUGAACGACAGCACUGUGAGGACCAUUUGAGCGGCUGUGUUGAGAGGAGACUCAAGAAAGCCUUCUAACCUCCAUCUUUGAUAGUGGAGGUGUCCACCAGGAGCCGCUGGCACCCUUUGUCAGCGAGCUAAACACUCUCCUGGCCUUGGAGUCACAGAAGUUGAAGGAGGAGAUUCAAGGAGGCAGAGUUGCUGCAGGCCAACAAGGUGGAGCUUAAUGAGUCUUCUCCUGACUAAGCCUGACUAAUUUGUGAGAAUUUUGAAUAAACCUGACUCUUUCAAUGGCAAUUCUGAGGACCCAGUUGGAUAGAACACGUCUUCAGGCUUAGAUUGGAAACUGGGUGUGUCUAAUAUUCUACAAAUACACUUGUAAUAAAUUAAUGGUGGCUUCCGUGAAGCGGUUCCUCACGGUCUACUCCACAAAGCUACAGAGAACAGAGUUGCAGUUAAUGCAAACUGUGAAGGAGUCCAUCCAAAAAGGCCUCCCAUCCAUCUGGAGCUAAUGAUGUUUCCAGCACUCAGCGAGGCUCCUGGGAACCAAACAACCCUGUUGUCAGCCCACCUGGUCUAGCAUUUCCAGGAGCAGCUGGCUUGUUCCAGAGAGGUCUAAGUCCUCCAAUCCAUCAGAGACGCCCCGGUCUGGUUCUGUGGAAAUUUCUAGGCUAGUUAUUUCCUCCAUGACUCAUCCAUGUGUUUCAUCCAAACUUAAAAAUGCUCCUCCUGUCACCCUCCUCUCCAAAGUCCCAACCCCUGUGGCUCUGUGCUUUCUUCUCCCUGAACAGAUGUAAUUUCCACCGUAUUUCUUAGAACCUAUACUUAAUUGCACACAACAUCACAUACGCCCUUAGCCUAGUCACAGAUCCUUCAACCAUUUUCUGGCUCUCACUGAAACCUUCUCUCUCAAGUGGACACUCUCAUUUGGGUUGGAGUCCUUGCUCCCAAUGUAACUUGUAGAUCUUUACUCCUCCGCAGUUCUCCUCGCUCAUUCCCCUCUUUCCGGGAGCCCCUGGGCUCACUGUCAAUCUUUUCAUCUCAGGUGUAUAAAUCCACCCUUCAUCUUAGGCUCUUAACUCCUUUUCCUCCUCAACAGACCAGGAACCUGGUAUCACCUACCAUCCAAAUAUACCCCAAAGCUCACCACUUCUUUCUGCCUCCACUGCCUCCACCUAGGCUGCAUUCCAGGCCACCACAGUCUUUUACCUGUGCUGCUAUAACCUUGUAAAUCAGCUUUCUGAUUCUCCUUUUGCCCCCAUAGUCAGUUUUCCAUUCAGCUGCCAGAGGAAUUUCCCUAAAAUGUAUCAUGUCAUGUCAUGCCUCUGCUCAGAACCCUUUAGGGGCUUUCCAUCCCACUGAGACUGAAAUCCAAAGCCCUCUGGGGUCAACCCCUGCCCAUCUCUCUGCCUCAACUCCUAUCACAUCCCUCUUGUUCAGGCCGCCCCCGCCAUACUGGAAUCCUUGGGCCCCACCAAGCUCAUUCUCUCCUCACAGUCUCUUCCUGGAGAGCUCCUUUUGUGGACAUCCACAUGGCUUUCUCUCCACUCCAUUCAGCUCCCUGCUUGAAUGGAAUGCCCCGGAGAGCCCUCCCUGAUCACUUUAUCCAGAAUAGUCCCUUCCUCUCCUUGCCCCCAAUAUCACUCUCAACUUGAAGCUGUGCACACCUUAAAACCACAGUUAUAAUGUCCAGGUGUGUUUGUU